UGGUCUAGGAGGGAGUUCUAUAGGGAGGAGGUGGUGGUCUAGGAGGGAGUUCUAUAGGGAGGAGGAGGUGGUCUAGGAGGGAGUUCUAUAGGGAGGAGGAGGUGGUCUAGGAGGGAGUUCUAUAGGGAGGAGGAGGUGGUCUAGGAGGGAGUUCUAUAGGGAGGAGGAGGUGGUCUAGGAGGGAGGUAUAUUGGGAGGAGGAGGUGGUCUAGGAGGGAGGUAUACUGGGAGGAGGAGGUGGUCUAGGAGGGAGGUAUACUGGGAGGAGGUGGUCUAGGAGGGAGGUAUACAGGGAGGAGGAGGUGGUCUAGGAGGGAGGUAUACAGGGAGGAGGAGGUGGUCUAGGAGGGAGGUAUACUGGGAGGAGGAGGAGGUCUCGGAGGGAGGUAUGUGGGAGGAGUGGGUGGUCUAGUAGAGAGGUAUGUGGGAGGAGGAGGUGGUCUAGGAGGGAGGUAUACUGGGAGGAGGAGGAGGUCUCGGAGGGAGGUAUGUGGGAGGAGGAGGUGGUCUAGUAGAGAGGUAUGUGGGAGGAGGAGGUGGUCUAGGAGGGAGGUAUAUUGGGAGGAGGAGAUGGUCUAGGAGGGAGGUAUGUGGGAGGAGGUGGUCUAGGAGGGAGGUAUGUGGGAGGAGGAGGUGGUCUAGGAGGGAGGUAUAUUGGGAGGAGGAGGUGGUCUAGGAGGGAGGUAUGUGGGAGGAGGAGGUGGUCUAGGAGGGAGGUAUGUGGGAGGAGGAGGUGGUCUAGGAGGGAGGUAUGUGGGAGGAGGAGGUGGUCUAGGAGGGAGGUAUGUGGGAGGAGGAGGUGGUCUAGGAGGGAGGUAUGUGGGAGGAGGAGGUGGUCUAGGAGGGAGGUAUGUGGGAGGAGGAGGUGGUCUAGGAGGGAGGUAUGUGGGAGGAGGAGGUGGUCUAGGAGGGAGGUAUGUGGGAGGAGGAGGUGGUCUAGGAGGGAGGUAUGUGGGAGGAGGAGGUGGUCUAGGAGGGAGGUAUGUGGGAGGAGGAGGUGGUCUAGGAGGGAGGUAUGUGGGAGGAGGAGGUGG